GAAAAUAAUGAGAAACACAGUGUGUUUAUUAACGUCAGUCAAGAUUAGUCUCUAGAUCUGUAAACAAGCUCGCAAACAAAACCCAAACUUCUGUCAAGCAGCAGAUAGCUUGUCAACCAGAUUCUGACUAGUAGAGUCGGCCACAAUAGCUGCAUCAUCAGCAUACAGGCCUAUUGUUUUGACUUCCUCUGGGAGCUGAUAAGAAUCUGGCAAUGCUCCCUUACGCUCCAGACAUCAUCUGGUACCAUACUAUCGGGCUUAUAUUAAACAGCAAUGGAUAAAAUAUGGCUGGCUUUCCGGUCGUUGGGAUACGAUCUGGAUUGUCGUUCAAUGGUUACGAUGAUCCCGUAUCGGAUUUGAGCCCUGCCCAAUGUCACUUGAGCGAGGAAUCUGAAGGAACAUCCGAAAUGUGUAAAAACAAAACAAAAACGGACGACUAUGCAAAAUAUUCUAAAAUACGGAAUAGCUUGUUUGCAAGGCAACGCUUCUUUUAAACUGUUGCGCCGUCUAGAAAACAUCAUAAUAAGGGCAUCAAAAAUCACACUCACAACAUUACCAUAUUUAAAGGAACUUUUUGAAUAAAAAAUGUCUAAGAAAAAUCGAACAAAUCUUGGAAGACAACGGCCACCCGCUCCAUCAGAGCUACGUCAGGUCGACUGCUGUCAAUCAAAACAACAACAGAGCGGUACAAAAACUAGUUCGUACCUCACUCGGUCAGACUCUAUCAACGCCACUCGCUAAUAUCAGGAAACAUGAAAAGGACCAAGAUGCCUGUGUGUAGUCGCUGAAUGAACUCUAUGUUGUGCCUGUUCUAUUUAUGUGUAUGUUUCUGUUAUGAUGUCUUUAUAUGAGAAAAGAGUCAUUGUAAUCACAACUAAUUUCCAUAAGGAUCAAUAAAGCAGUCUUAGUCUUAGA